CGAGGAAAUUAUUAGGGAACAAUACACGGAAACCCACGGCAGAGCUGAGGCUCUGCAGGGCCAGGUGGGUGGGGCGGGGGUUUGUGUCCCCCCGGGCCCCGCGGUGAGACUUUCUCUCGGUGGGCGAAACUCCGUGGUGAGACCGGAGGGUUCUUGAGGCCGGUGGUGGGACACAGAACAAAUGAUGCCCAGCCUGGCAACAGUCCUUUAAACUCCUGGGAUUUCUUGAUGUUCAAAAUGUCCCAUGUGCACGAGAAUCAGUGCUCUAUGGUUCCCUGGGGUCUUUAGUUAUGGGUCUUGGACAUUUUUUAGCAACUAGUAGAGUUAGAAGAUCUUGUGAUGUUGCAGUUGGUGGCUUUAUUUGCACAAUGUUAGGAUACUGGUUUUACUGCAGGUACAACCUGGCCAAGCAAAGGAUCCGGCAAAGAAUGCUUAAAGAAGGAAUGAGAAACAGAGUUUUAUUUGAAGGCAGUUAUCUUGAUCCAGAAAAGGAAAAAACGGGCGGUGAAAGAAGCGAUUCAUAGGUUGCUCUGGAGGAGUUGUGGUUUAAUACAUCUUUGGGAAAAGGCAGUCCAUAAACAAGUCAAUCUACACUGCAAGCCUGUGAGGUGUCUAAAGCUGGUAAACAGUGGUUAUCCUAGCAAAUCUGAGCAGGAAAUUCAUAGUGAAUCUGUUAAAUCUGCACAAGCCUUGCUUUGUUUCAUGUAUGUAUGUAUGUGACUGCACACAUUUAGAAUGAUGUUAAACAUCUGGGAGCUCAUGUGUUCUCUUGCAGGUCUCAGAGGAUUAGUGAGACAGUGAUUUGGGAGUGCUUUAACUUCCAUUAUAAACAGAGUGUGGUUUGCUUUAGCAAAGUUGUAAUUACAUCUCAUUUAAAUACAGGAAAAUAUUUCUAUCACCUGUUGAUGUGUAUCAACAAAUGUAUCCUUCAGGGCUAUUAUUAACAGUGCUGUUUGUAAAACAGGAAUAUUUAAACAAUAGAAGAAGGCUUUGCUUGUGCAAGAUGGGUUAUAUCAGCAGCCUUUGUAAGAUUUCAGCUGCAGGAUAACCAGAUAAUUUACACACACUGUGAAGCUGAAGGAUUUCCAUCUUUGUUCUGUCUGUUUGAAACUAUGAAUAAAAUCACACUUCAGAGCAGUCUAAACUA